rnacentral:rRNA from 1 species
AUACGGAGGAUCCGAGCGUUAUCCGGAUUUAUUGGGUUUAAAGGGAGCGUAGGCGGGAGAUCAAGUCAGCUGUGAAAUGUAGAUGCUCAACAUCUGCACUGCAGUUGAAACUGGUUUUCUUGAGUGCGUAAGGGGCAGGCGGAAUUCGUCGUGUAGCGGUGAAAUGCUUAGAGAUGCGGGAGAACUCCGAUCGCGAAGGCAGCCUGCCGGGCCGCGAGUGACGCUGAAGCUCGAAGGUGCGGGUAUCGAACAGGAUUAGAUACCCUGGUAGUCCGCACAGUAAACGAUGGAUACUCGCUGUCGGCGAUAUACGGUCGGUGGCCAAGCGAAAGCGUUAAGUAUCCCACCUGGGGAGUACGCCGGCAACGGGGAAACUCAAAGGAAUUGACGGGG